rnacentral:tmRNA from 1 species
GGGGACGACCUGGCUUCGACGUGGGUUGCAAAACCUGAGGUGCAUGCCGAGGAUGUAGACUCCUCGUAAAUCAUUCUGCAAAUUUAUAGUUGCCAACGACGACAACUACGCACUCGCAGCUUAAACACCUGUAGAAUGCCGUCUGACUGAAGCCGUGCUUAUGCGUUCAGAUUCCAGGCGUCGACUCUCAUAAGAUCGCGAUGAAGCAUGACCGGUGUGGAUUCGCUAAACUUUAUCCGGUAUCGCUGUUAGUUCUCCCUGCCCAUCGGGUAACCUGCAGUUAAAACAAUAGAUUGGGAUAAGCAUGUAGAGCCGAAGGCGGAGGAUUCGCGGACGCGGGUUCGAUUCCCGCCGUCUCCACCA